CUUCAUGUUGAUCUGUCUUUGGGAUCACUGAGCCAAUCUUCAGCUAUACUGUUCAGCUCAUCUGAUAUACAGGGAGUCCACGGAGCCUCCCCUGCAAGCAUCAGUACAGAAGUCGAUGAUAAUCUGGAUGCAAGCCCAGGAGUGUGGAGUCCACUGACUCAGAAGACCUGCAUCUAAGGAAUUGGCUGUUCUUAUCCUUAAGAAUGAUGACUGUGUUUCCAAUUCCAGUAGACCCUUUGAUGCGU
rnacentral:lncRNA from 1 species